rnacentral:rRNA from 1 species
CGACUCUCGACAACGGAUAUCUAGGCUCUCGCAUCGAUGAAGAACGCAGCCAAAUGCGAAACUUGGUGUGAAUUGCAGAAUCCCGUGAAUCAUCGAGUUUUUGAACGCAAGUUGCGCCCAAAGUCAUUAGGCCGAGGGCACGUCUGCCUGGGUGUCACG